rnacentral:rRNA from 1 species
UACAGAGGAGCCAAGCGUUGUCCGGAUUGACUGGGCGUAAAGCGCACGCAGGCGGAUGCGCGCGUGGGGUGUGAAAUCUGGCCGCUUAACGGCCAGGCGCCAUCCCAUACGGCGCGUCUGGAGUGAUGCAGAGGUCGGUGGAAUUGCCGGUGUAGUGGUGAAAUGCGUAGAGAUCGGCAGGAACACCCAGGGGCAAACCAGCCGACUGGGCAUCUACUGACGCUGAGGUGCGAGAGCGUGGGGAGCGAACCGG